rnacentral:rRNA from 1 species
AUGACCCGCGCGCAGCCCGCACCCCAGCUCGCCGCGGCGCUCCUCCUCCCCUUCCUGCUGCUGCUGCUGCUCGCGCCCGCGGAGGUCGCGGCCUCCACGCUCGCCGUCGCGGGGGGCUCCGCCGUCUGCGGCGUCGCCGCCGACAACGGCACCGUCUACUGCGUCGCGCCCGGCGCCGGCUCGUCGGCCUACAACGCCUCCGCCUCGCCCGUCGCGCCGUGGCUCGUCUUCUCGCAGGUCUCGGGCGGCGCGGGCUUCCUCUGCGGCGUUGGCGCGGCCGCGGGUGGUGGCGUCCCCGCGCUCUUCUGCUGGCCGCCGGCGGUCCCGGGGCAGCUCAGGCGGGUGUACAGGGGCCCUGCGCCCCUCUCGGACCUCGCCGUCGGGGCCGAGCACGUCGCCGCGUACGACGGGCAGGCGCGCGGGAUCCGAUGGUGGAGGAGGGAGUCCGGCCAGUUCCCGGAGCUGGCCCUCGGCAAGUUCGGCUCCCUCGUCUCCGGCGACGGCUUCACCUGCGCGCUCGACACGGGCUCCUCCUCUUCCGCGGUCCGCUGCUGGGGGGCUAGAGGUAGCGCCGUGCAGGCGGCCUUCGCCAACGUCUCUGUGUCGUCCCUCGCCGCGGGGGGCUCCCGCGCGUGCGGCGUCGUGUCGGCCACCGGCGCCGUGCUCUGCUCUGGCUUUGUGGACAAGCUCCCGCAGAACGACCUCUACCCGCACGGGCUCGCCGUCGGCGACUCCCACGCCUGCGGUCUCCGGCGGCCUAACCACACCGCCGUGUGCUGGAACCUCGCGGGGCCGACCCCCACCGUCUACUUCCCGGCCUUCGGGACGGCGUUCGAGUUCCUCGUCGCCGGCGGCAACCUCACGUGCGGCCUCGUCACCGCAAACUUCACCGUGCAGUGCUGGUCGUCGACCUCGCCGGCGGCGGACAACGCCGCGGUGAUGGUGCCGUUGCCCGCGAUUCUCCCCGGCUCCUGCGUCCUCAACGAGUCCUCGUGCGAAUGCGGCGUUUACCCUCGGUCCGGAGAGCUCUGCGCGAGCGCGCGCGCGGGCGGCGGCGUUAUCUGCAAUAGGCUGUGCGACACCUCGACGCCGCCGCCGGCACCAGCGUCGCCGCCUCAGUCACCAACGACGGCUACAAAGCCAUUGUCCAAAGUCUGGAUCGCCUUCGCCGUCGUAGGCGCGGUCGGUGUCUUCGCUGGCAUCUGCUCCAUCAUCUACUGCUUCGUCUUCGGCUUCUGCAGCCACAAGAGGAUCCAUAACUCCGUCCAGCCCAAUCUCGCCACCAACGCCCCUGCCGCGGCGGCGGAUAACGUCGGUGGCGUCGGCGUUGGAGUCGGCGCCGGGGCCGUGGCGAGCCCCUACGGCUCGCCGAACGGGUCACGGGCGCGUGGCCUCUUCCGGCGGCAGCUCUCCCGCGCCAUGACGCGGCAGCGCAGCGGGCCGUCGUCCUUCAACUUCAAGGAGCACACCGAGGAGUACACGUUCGCGCAGCUGGCGACGGCGACGAACGGCUUCGAGCCGGAGGCCAAGAUCGGCGCGGGGAGCUUCGGCACGGUGUACCGCGGCAAGCUCCCCGACGGCCGCGAGGUCGCCAUCAAGCGCGGCGAGGCGUCGGGGCCAAUGGCGCGCAAGUUCCAGGAGAAGGAGAGCGCGUUCCGGUCGGAGCUGGCCUUCCUCUCCCGGCUCCACCACAAGCACCUCGUCGGCCUCGUCGGCUACUGCGAGGAGAACGACGAGCGGCUGCUGGUGUACGAGUACAUGAAGAACGGCGCGCUCUACGACCACCUCCACCCCAAGGGCGGCGGCGCGGACGCCGACGCGGCGUCGCCGGUGGUGUCGUCGUGGAAGCUGCGCAUCAAGAUCCUGCUGGACGCGUCGCGGGGCAUCGAGUACCUGCACUCGUACGCCGUGCCGCCCAUCAUCCACCGCGACAUCAAGUCGUCCAACAUCCUGCUGGACGGCGGGUGGGUGGCGCGCGUGUCGGACUUCGGGCUGUCGCUGAUGGGGCCGCCGGAGACGGAGGAGGCGGGCGGCGCGCAGGCGCAACCGCAGCACCUGUCCAUGAAGGCCGCCGGCACGGUGGGGUACAUGGACCCGGAGUACUACGGCCUGCACCACCUCACCGUGAAGAGCGACGUGUACGGCUUCGGCGUGGUGAUGCUGGAGACGCUGACGGGGAAGCGCGCCAUCUUCAAGGAGGCCGAGGGCGGGAGCCCGGUGAGCGUGGUGGACUACGCGCAGCCGAGCAUCGUGGCCGGGGAGCUCGGCAAGGUGCUGGACGGGCGCGCGCCGGAGCCGUCGCCGCACGAGGCCGAGGCCGUGGAGCUGGUGGCGUACACGGCCGUGCACUGCGUGCGGCUCGAGGGCAAGGACCGGCCGGCGAUGGCCGACAUCGUGGCCAACCUGGAGACGGCGUUCGCGCUCUGCGAGGGCAGCGCGGGCGGCAGCCGCGGCGCCGGCGGCACCACCACGGGCGGCGGCUUCGGCAACAGCUCGUCCAGCGCCAGCCUCUCCAUGACGUCCAUGGAGCUGUCCGGAAGGCUCGCGGAGUAG